rnacentral:rRNA from 1 species
UAGUGGCGCACGGGUGAGUAACACGUGGGAACCUGCCUUUCGGUUCGGGAUAACGUCUGGAAACGGACGCUAACACCGGAUACGUCCCCCAGAGAGAUUUGGGCGGAGAAAGUUUACGCCGAGAGAGGGGCCCGCGUCCGAUUAGGUAGUUGGUGGGGUAAUGGCCCACCAAGCCGACGAUCGGUAGCUGGUCUGAGAGGAUGAUCAGCCACACUGGGACUGAGACACGGCCCAGACUCCUACGGGAGGCAGCAGUGGGGAAUAUUGGACAAUGGGGGCAACCCUGAUCCAGCAAUGCCGCGUGAGUGAUGAAGGCCUUAGGGUUGUAAAGCUCUUUCGCACGCGACGAUGAUGACGGUAGCGUGAGAAGAAGCCCCGGCUAACUUCGUGCCAGCAGCCGCGGUAAUACGAAGGGGGCGAGCGUUGUUCGGAAUUACUGGGCGUAAAGGGCGCGUAGGCGGCCCGAUCAGUCAGAUGUGAAAGCCCCGGGCUCAACCUGGGAACUGCAUUUGAUACUGUCGGGCUUGAGUUCCGGAGAGGAUGGUGGAAUUCCCAGUGUAGAGGUGAAAUUCGUAGAUAUUGGGAAGAAC